GAUGAAGAACGUAGCGAAAUGCGAUAAGUAAUGUGAAUUGCAGAAUUCAGUGAAUCAUCGAAUCUUUGAACGCACAUUGCGCCCGCCAGUAUUCUGGCGGGCAUGCCUGUUCGAGCGUCAUUUCAACCAUCAAGCCCCAGGCUUGUGUUGGGGACCUGCGGCUGCCGCAGGCCCUGAAAACCAGUGGCGGGCUCGCUGUCACACCGGGCGUAGUAGAUUUUAUCUCGCUCAGGGCGUGCUGCGGGUCCCGGCCGUUAAAAGCCUUUUUUUACCCAAGGUUGACCUCGGAUCAGGUAGGAAGACCCGCUGAACUUAAGCAUAUCAAUAAGCGAGGA
rnacentral:misc_RNA from 1 species